AGAGUUUGAUCCUGGCUCAGGAUGAACGCUAGCGGCAGGCUUAACACAUGCAAGUCGAGGGGUAGAAAUAGCUUGCUAUUUUGAGACCGGCGCACGGGUGCGUAACGCGUAUGCAAUCUACCUUUCACAGGGGGAUAGCCCGGAGAAAUCCGGAUUAAUACCCCAUGGUUUUUUAGGGUGGCAUCACCUUAUUAAUAAAGAUUUAUCGGUGAAAGAUGAGCAUGCGUCCCAUUAGCUAGAUGGUAAGGUAACGGCUUACCAUGGCUUCGAUGGGUAGGGGUCCUGAGAGGGAGAUCCCCCACACUGGUACUGAGACACGGACCAGACUCCUACGGGAGGCAGCAGUGAGGAAUAUUGGACAAUGGGCGCAAGCCUGAUCCAGCCAUGCCGCGUGCAGGAUGAAGCAUCUAUGGUGUGUAAACUGCUUUUAUACGGGAAGAAACCCUGGAACGUGUUCCAGACUGACGGUACCGUAAGAAUAAGGAUCGGCUAACUCCGUGCCAGCAGCCGCGGUAAUACGGAGGAUCCAAGCGUUAUCCGGAAUCAUUGGGUUUAAAGGGUCCGUAAGCGGCCCUGUAAGUCAGUGGUGAAAUCUCACGGCUCAACCGUGAAAUUGCCAUUGAUACUGCAGGGCUUGAAUUACCAGAAAGUAAC
rnacentral:rRNA from 1 species